rnacentral:lncRNA from 1 species
AACUGUGCUGUUUUUUCUUUGCAGAAUAUGAAACUGAGGCUCAGAUAAUUUAAAUAACUUGCUUAAAGGUCACACAGCUUGUAAAUGAAGAUGGAAAAUGAACCAUUUUACCCACACCCCCUUCCCCACCAACACCACUGUUAAGAGCUUUCCUAACUAGAUAUUUAUUCUAAGCACAUCCCCAAAUAUUAAACAGAACUUGCUUAAUAAGUAGAGCUAGCAACCUAUUUAAAAUUGGCAGAUUAUUUUAAAGAAAAUACAUGUGCAAGUCUGGUUUUCCUGAAUAGACUUACCUUUACUGAAAAGGCAUUUAAGAUGUAUUUAAAAAGACCAAAGUUGACAGAACAGUGUACUUUACUCAUGAAUUGGAAACCUCAAACAUAUUAGGAUGAAAAUUUUCUCAAGAUUGUUGUACAUAGUGAAUCAGUCUUAAUGGUAAGCUCAACAGUCUAUUUGUGGAAAUUUAUAAACUGAUUAUAAUAUUUAUAU